rnacentral:rRNA from 1 species
UACGUAGGGUGCAAGCGUUGUCCGGAAUCAUUGGGCGUAAAGCGCGCGUAGGUGGUCAUGUAAGUCCGCUGUGAAAGUCAAAGGCUCAACCUUUGAAAGCCGGUGGAUACUGCAUGACUAGAGUACGGAAGAGGCGAGUGGAAUUCCUGGUGUAGCGGUGGAAUGCGCAGAUAUAAGGAGGAACACCAAUAGCGAAGGCAGCUCGCUGGGACGUUACUGACACUGAGGCGCGAAAGCGUGGGGAGCGAACAGG